AAAAAACUUGGCCGACUCGUGUUCUCUCAUCUUUCAAUCCCACAGGAAUUAGGGAGUGUGGAAAAGGGACGGAGCGCCGGUUUAAUCAUGCCGUCCAGCACCAGGAGGAACCCUUCCAAGUGAGGCGGCCCUUUUUAAUGCUGCUUAAGAGUGUGGCUGCAUUGUAGACGCCUCUUUUUUCAAGCCAAGUCAAAGAUUGAUCGUCAACGGUGUUUUUCUGCAUAUACCUCAUGCAUAUGUUCACAGGCAGGUGGCCUCUUGUCAGACAGCCAAGGCGAGAGGCGAAAUUAAACCUGGUCGCCCGUGCGUGUGGAUGAGGACCACAGCCAGACAAAUGAAUGACUCCCACACGUCCAUUUUGGACUCUGGAUCAGUUUCUCGUUUUUUU
ensembl:lncRNA